AAGUAAGAAGCAAUUAUGCAAUCAGUUUCGACCUGGUCAUUUGAUGUGUUAUAAACAUCCUUACUUU
rnacentral:tRNA from 1 species